rnacentral:rRNA from 1 species
AGAGUUUGAUCCUGGCUCAGGACGAACGCUGGCGGCGUGCCUAAUGCAUGCAAGUCGCACGCACUUCCUUCGGGGAGUGAGUGGCGCACGGCUGAGGAACACGUGGGAACCUGCCCAUUUGUGGGGGAUAACCCACCGAAAGGUGAGCUAAUCCCGCAUACGCCUGCUCACGCAGGGAAAGCGGCAACGCGCAGAUGGAGGGGCCUGCGGCCCAUCAGGUCGUUGGCGGGGUAACGGCCCACCAAGCCGCUGACGGGUAGCUGGUCUGUGAGGACAACCAGCCAGACUGGGACUGAGACACGGCCCAGACUCCUACGGGAGGCAGCAGCAAGGAAUUUUCGGCAAUGGGGGCAACCCUGACCGAGCAACGCCGCGUGGAGGAUGACGGCCUUCGGGUUGUAAACUCCUUUUCCGGGGGAAGACAUCGACGGUACCCCGGGAAUCAGGCUCGGCUAACUCUGUGCCAGCAGCCGCGGUAAUAC